rnacentral:tRNA from 1 species
GAAUUCGUAGGUUCAAUUCCUACUGGAUGCA